UAAAUUGAGAGUUUGAUCCUGGCUCAGGAUGAACGCUGGCGGCGUGCUUAACACAUGCAAGUCGAGCGAGGGAGCACCUUCGGGUGUGAACUAGCGGCGGACGGGUGAGUAACACGUGGGCAACCUGCCUUACAGAGGGGGAUAGCCUUCCGAAAGGAAGAUUAAUACCGCAUAUUAUGAUUUUUCUGCAUGGGAAAGUCAUGAAAGGAGCAAUCCGCUGUAAGAUGGGCCCGCGGCGCAUUAGCUAGUUGGUGAG
rnacentral:ncRNA from 1 species